UUUGAUCCUGGYUCAGGAUGAACGCUAGCGGCAGGCUUAAUACAUGCAAGUCGAGGGGUAACAUGGGUAGCAAUACCUGAUGACSACCGGCAAACGGGUGCGGAACACGUACSCAACCUUCCCAAAACUGGUGAAUAGCCUUUCGAAAGAGAGAUUAAUACACCGUAACUUAAUGAAGUGGCAUCACUUUAUUAAUAUAGCUCCGGCGGUUUUGGAUGGGCGUGCGCCUGAUUAGGUAGUUGGCGGGGUAACGGCCCACCAAGCCUACGAUCAGUAACUGGUGUGAGAGCACGACCAGUCACACGGGCACUGAGACACGGGCCCGACUCCUACGGGAGGCAGCAGUAAGGAAUAUUGGUCAAUGGACGAAAGUCUGAACCAGCCAUGCCGCGUGAAGGAUUAAGGCCCUCUGGGUUGUAAACUUCUUUUAUAGGGGACGAAAAAAGGGCAUUCUUGCUCACUUGACGGUACCCUAGGAAUAAGCACCGGCUAACUCCGUGCCAGCAGCCGCGGUAAUACGGAGGGUGCAAGCGUUAUCCGGAUUUACUGGGUUUAAAGGGAGCGUAGGUGGGUUGGUAAGUCAGUGGUGAAAUCUUCGAGCUUAACUCGGAAACUGCCAUUGAUACUAUCAAUCUUGAAUUAUCUGGAGGUAAGCGGAAUAUGUCAUGUAGCGGUGAAAUGCUUAGAUAUGACAUAGAACACYCCAUUGCGAAGGCAGCUUACUACGGAUAUAUUGACACUGAGGCUCGAAAGCGUGGGGAUCAAACAGGAUUAGAUACCCUGGUAGUCCACGCCCUAAACGAUGGAUACUCGACAUCAGCGAUACACUGUUGGUGUCUGAGCGAAAGCAUUWAAGUAUCYCACCUGGGAAGUACGACCGCRAGGUUGAACUCMAAGGAAUUGACGGGGGUCYGCWCAGCGGUGGAAGCAUGUGGUU
rnacentral:rRNA from 1 species